rnacentral:rRNA from 1 species
UACGGAGGGUGCGAGCGUUGUCCGGAAUCACUGGGCGUAAAGGGCGCGUAGGCGGCCUGAUAAGUAGGGGGUGAAAUCCUGCGGCUUAACCGCAGGGCUGCCUUCUAAACUGUCAGGCUUGAGCACAGUAGAGGCAGGUGGAAUUCCCGGUGUAGCGGUGGAAUGCGUAGAGAUCGGGAAGAACAUCAGUGGCGAAGGCGGCCUGCUGGGCUGUUGCUGACGCUGAGGCGCGACAGCGUUGGGAGCAAACAGG